rnacentral:rRNA from 1 species
CCUACGGGAGACAGCAGUGAGGAAUAUUGGUCAAUGGGCGCGAGCCUGAACCAGCCAAGUCGCGUGAGGGAAGACGGUCCUAUGGAUUGUAAACCUCUUUUGUCGGGGAGCAAAAGACGCCACGCGUGGCGUUCCGAGAGUACCCGAAGAAAAAGCAUCGGCUAACUCCGUGCCAGCAGCCGCGGUAAUACGGAGGAUGCGAGCGUUAUCCGGAUUUAUUGGGUUUAAAGGGUGCGCAGGCGGAAGAUCAAGUCAGCGGUAAAAUUGAGAGGCUCAACCUCUUCGAGCCGUUGAAACUGGUUGUCUUGAGUGAGCGAGAGGUAUGCGGAAUGCGUGGUGUAGCGGUGAAAUGCAUAGAUAUCACGCAGAACUCCGAUUGCGAAGGCAGCAUACCGGCGCUCAACUGACGCUCAUGCACGAAAGUGUGGGUAUCGAACAGGAUUAGAUACCCUGGUAGUC